UUAAUAGCUAGCAUCUCACAAAUUGAACUCUACAAAGAAUCACAAUUUGGGUUCCUCUCUGCAACCUAGGUUUCAUUCUCCUUCUCAUCAAGGUAAGCUCUAAACUUGUAGUAAAAUAUUUUGACAUUGGGCACUUUUUUAUAUUAUCAGUUCUCUCUCUGUUUUUCAAAUAUUGAGUUUUUUCUUAUAAUUACAUAUGCUUCAAAUUUAUAAUUAUAGGUACGUUUUAUGAGUAUUGAUGUUGAAUGUGCCGAGCUUAUUUCUUUAUUUCCAUUGAAUUUUGCUCCUUACAUAAUAGCUAUGUGUUUUCAUCUUUAGAGCAGAUUAUUUUUUGAAAUUGGGUUUGAUUGCAUAUUGUUAUUGGGAAAAAGCUUCUCAAUAUCUGGUCAUGAUUGUAUUGUAAACUUUCUCUAGUGAAAUUAGGGGUGGACAUAAAAUCCGAGAAAUCCAAAAAUGUGCUAGAAGGGGAAUUGCAGCAACUAGGAUAGCAGUCAAGUUCUCAAGUCAUAAUGGAGGCUUGCAAGAAUGGGCACCAAAAU
rnacentral:lncRNA from 1 species